rnacentral:rRNA from 1 species
CACGAAGUUAGCCGGUGCUUAUUCUGUCGGUAACGUCAAAACACUAACGUAUUAGGUUAAUGCCCCUCCUCCCAACUUAAAGUGCUUUACAAUCCGAAGACCUUCUUCACACACGCGGCAUGGCUGGAUCAGGCUUUCGCCCAUUGUCCAAUAUUCCCCACUGCUGCCUCCCGUAGGAGUCUGGACCGUGUCUCAGUUCCAGUGUGACUGAUCAUCCUCUCAGACCAGUUACGGAUCGCAGCCUUGGUGAGCCAUUACCUCACCAACUAGCUAAUCCGACCUAGGCUCAUCUGAUAGCGCAAGGCCCGAAGGUCCCCUGCUUUCUCCCGUAGGACGUAUGCGGUAUUAGCGUUCCUUUCGAAACGUUGUCCCCCACUACCAGGCAGAUUCCUAGGCAUUACUCACCCGUCCGCCGCUGAAUCAGGGAGCAAGCUCCCUUCAUCCGCUCGACUUGCAUGUGUUAGGCCUGCCGCAGCGUUCAAUCUGAGCCAGGAUA